AGCGAACGCUGGCGGCAGGCUUAACACAUGCAAGUCGAGCGCCCCGCAAGGGGAGCGGCAGACGGGUGAGUAACACGUGGGAACGUGCCUUUUGGUUCGGAACAACCCAGGGAAACUUGGGCUAAUACCGGAUAAGCCCUUACGGGGAAGAUUUAUCGCCAAAAGAUCGACCCGCGUCUGAUUAGCUAGUUGGUGGGGUAAUGGCCCACCAAGGCUACGAUCAGUAGCUGGUCUGAGAGGANGAUCAGCCACAUUGGGACUGAGACACGGCCCAAACUCCUACGGGAGGCAGCA
rnacentral:rRNA from 1 species